rnacentral:rRNA from 1 species
GGAAAAGAAACCAACAGGGAUUGCCUCAGUAACGGCGAGUGAAGCGGCAAAAGCUCAAAUUUGAAAUCUAGCACCUUCGGUGUUUGAGUUGUAAUUUGAAGAUGGUAACCUUGGGUUUGGCUCUUGUCUAUGUUCCUUGGAACAGGACGUCAUAGAGGGUGAGAAUCCCGUCUGAUGAGAUGCCCAUUCCUAUGUAAGGUGCUAUCGAAGAGUCGAGUUGUUUGGGAAUGCAGCUCUAAGUGGGUGGUAAAUUCCAUCUAAAGCUAAAUAUUGGCGAGAGACCGAUAGCGAACAAGUACAGUGAUGGAAAGAUGAAAAGAACUUUGAAAAGAGAGUGAAAAAGUACGUGAAAUUGUUGAAAGGGAAGGGCAUUAGAUCAGACUUGGUGUUUUACGAUUAUCUUCUCUUCUUGAGUUGUGCACUCGUAUUUCACUGGGCCAGCAUCGAUUCGGAUGGCAAGAUAAUGGCAGUUGAAUGUGGCUUCACUUCGGUGGAGUGUUAUAGCUUCUGCUGAUAUUGCCUGUCUGGAUCGAGGGCUGCGUCUUUUGACUAGGAUGCUGGCGUAAUGAUCUAAUGCCGCCCGUCUUGAACCACGGACCAAAAAUUU